rnacentral:snoRNA from 1 species
AUGCCCUAAGUGAUGAACUCAAUAUCUAAGCUAUGGAUUUAUCUCCAAAUGAAGCUUAUUGUCAUAGUUACUCUGAUGGGCAUU